rnacentral:rRNA from 1 species
GACGAACGCUGGCGGCGUGCUUAACACAUGCCAGUCGAACGGAGAAGCCCCGCUUUUGUGGGGUGCUCGAGUGGCGAACGGGUGGGUAACACGAGAGUAACCUGCCCUUGCCUCUGGUAUUACUUCAGGACACUGAGGCUUAUACCGUACAGGAGCUCCUGCUGCAUGGUGAUGGUUGGAAAGGUUCGGCGGUUGUGGAUGGAGUCGCGGCUUAUCAGCCUGUUGGUGGGGUAGUGGCUUACCAGGGCUUUGACGGGUAGCCGGCCUGAGAGGGUGACCGGCCACAUUGGGACUGCGAUGCGGCCCAGACUCCUAGGGGAGGCAGCAGUGGGGGAUAGUGCACAACGGGCGGAAGCCUGAUGCAGCAACGCCGCGUGCGGGAUGACGGCCUUCGGGUUGUAAACCGCUUUCGCCUGGGACGAAGCGUGAGUGACGGUAAUGGGUAAAGAAGCACCGGCUAACUACGUG